UAAAAGAUGCCUGAGCGGUCAAAAGGGUUAGUUUGCUAAACUAAUAAAUCGCAGGUUCGAAUCCUGUUCUUUUCU
rnacentral:tRNA from 1 species